rnacentral:tRNA from 2 species
AAGGGAGACCUAAUUCAGGUAUGGGACGAAAAAAAAGUAGUCCCUACCAAGAAUCAAUCCCAAAAGGUCGGAGCGAGGCAAAAUUGGCUUUCAAACUAGGUUCUGGGUUCAUAAAAGACCUGAAUCAGGAACAAGGGCUAUUAGCUCAGGUGGUUAGAGCGCACCCCUGAUAAGGGUGAGGUCCCUGGUUCGAGUCCAGGAUGGCCCACCUGCACAGGUGGCAAAAACAAAGAAGCGAGGAAUCAGCACCUUAUCUUACUUAUAUAGUAAGAGAGAAUGCUGGCUCUGAGUAAAGAGUCCAGAGGAACCUUGAAAACUGCAUAGAGCUAGGUGAAAAAGCCAAAAAAGAAGACCGCAA